rnacentral:hammerhead_ribozyme from 1 species
GCACUGCUGAGGAGUCACAACAUAGGACGAAACAGCUGUCAAGUGC